rnacentral:rRNA from 1 species
UACGUAGGGGGCUAGCGUUGUCCGGAUUUAUUGGGCGUAAAGAGCGCGUAGGCUGCGGGGCAAGUCGGGUGUGAAAUCUCAGAGCUCAACUCUGAAACUGCACUCGAUACUGCUUUGCUCGAGGACUGGAGAGGAGAUUGGAAUUCACGGUGUAGCAGUGAAAUGCGUAGAUAUCGUGAGGAAGACCAGUGGCGAAGGCGGAUCUCUGGACAGUUCCUGACGCUGAGGCACGAAGGCCAGGGGAGCAAACGGG